CACUCCUGCGGGAGGCAGCAGUGGGGAAUUUUGGACAAUGGGCGAAAGCCUGAUCCAGCAAUGCCGCGUGAGUGAAGAAGGCCUUCGGGUUGUAAAGCUCUUUUGUCAGGGAAGAAACGGUGAAAGCUAAUAUCUUUUGCUAAUGACGGUACCUGAAGAAUAAGCACCGGCUAACUACGUGCCAGCAGCCGCGGUAAUACGUAGGGUGCAAGCGUUAAUCGGAAUUACUGGGCGUAAAGCGUGCGCGGGCGGUUUUGUAAGUCUGAUGUGAAAUCCCCGGGCUCAACCUGGGAAUUGCAUUGGAGACUGCAAGGCUAGAAUCUGGCAGAGGGGGGUAGAAUUCCACGUGUAGCAGUGAAAUGCGUAGAUAUGUGGAGGAACACCGAUGGCGAAGGCAGCCCCCUGGGUCAAGAUUGACGCUCAUGCACGAAAGCGUGGGGAGCAAACAGGAUUAGAUACCCCAGUAGUCCCA
rnacentral:rRNA from 1 species